ensembl:lncRNA
GCUGGAUGGAACAGAACAAAAAGAGGAAAGCAGGAGCCAGCAAAGUGCUGAAAAUGAAAGUGAGGAGGGGGAAGAAAUGGACGACAAACUACUAAAAACAAUAAAAAGGAGGCGAUCAAUAAAGGUUUUGCCAAGUUUGACAACUGCUAGGAAAAGAGUGAUUAAAAAAGACGUGUUGAAGCAUGGAAACAGAUAUGAGUGUCUGAAGGACUUGGAGGGGAUAGACUGAAACGAUGGAAACCUCUUCACGGCUAAAGCUGCAGAGAUGGAGCUGCAGAUCGAGAGUGCGGGCGCAAGAGAAGACUUUUGAAAACUUUUGCAAAAAGAAGCCGUUUCCAGUAGAGGUUAUAUGAUGUUCCGAUCCAUCUUUUCACACUGAGGACAACCGAGGGACUCGUACACGACUAUUCCAAAAGGUGCAAACAUUCACUGAUGCUCAAGAAGGUAACAGCAUGCAUUAAGAGCCUGGCUGUAAACGUUGUAAACAGGAUGAUCAUGUAAAUUUUUUUGUCUUCUGGGAUACUUCUAUGCUGUAUUAACCAUCUUUCUGUAAUAAACCCUUUUCACC